GAUGAACGCUGGCGGCGUGCCUAAUACAUGCAAGUCGAGCGAACAGACGAGGAGCUUGCUCCUUUGACGUUAGCGGCGGACGGGUGAGUAACACGUGGGUAACCUACCUAUAAGACUGGGAUAACUUCGGGAAACCGGAGCUAAUACCGGAUAAUAUUUCGAACCGCAUGGUUCGAUAGUGAAAGAUGGCUUUGCUAUCACUUAUAGAUGGACCUGCGCCGUAUUAGCUAGUUGGUAAGGUAACGGCUUACCAAGGCAACGAUACGUAGCCGACCUGAGAGGGUGAUCGGCCACACUGGAACUGAGACACGGUCCAGACUCCUACGGGAGGCAGCAGUAGGGAACCUUCCGCAAUGGGCGAAAGCCUGACGGAGCAACGCCGCGUGAGUGAUGAAGGUCUUCGGAUCGUAAAACUCUGUUAUUAGGGAAGAACAAACGUGUAAGUAACUGUGCACGUCUUGACGGUACCUAAUCAGAAAGCCACGGCUAACUACGUG
rnacentral:rRNA from 1 species